CAAAGGAAGCGAUUCCGGCAACGGAUGGGCAUGCGUGACAUUAGCUAGUUGGCGGGGCAACGGCCCACCAAGGCGACGAUGUCUAGGGGUUCUGAGAGGAAGGUCCCCCACACUGGUACUGAGACACGGACCAGACUCCUACGGGAGGCAGCAGUGAGGAAUAUUGGUCAAUGGGCGCGAGCCUGAACCAGCCAAGUCGCGUGGGAGAUGACGGCCCUACGGGUUGUAAACCUCUUUUGUCGGGGAGCAAAUUCCGCCACGCGUGGCGGAGUCGAGAGUACCCGAAGAAAAAGCAUCGGCUAACUCCGUGCCAGCAGCCGCGGUAAUACGGAGGAUGCGAGCGCUAUCCGGAUUUAUUGGGUUUAAAGGGUGCGUAGGCGGACUGUCAAGUCAGCGGUAAAAUACGGGGGCUCAACCUCCGCCCGCCGUUGAAACUGACGGUCUUGAGUGGGCGAGAAGUAUGCGGAAUGCGUGGUGUAGCGGUGAAAUGCAUAGAUAUCACGCAGAACUCCGAUUGCGAAGGCAGCAUACCGGCGCCCAACUGACGCUGAAGCACGAAAGCGUGGGUAUCGAACAGGAUUAGAUACCCUGGUAGUCCACGCAGUAAAC
rnacentral:rRNA from 1 species